AUGGCUUGCACACAGAUGAACUGCUCCAAGAACGGGACAACCUCCGCUGCUGACCUGACAGAUGACCUUAUCAUCGAGAUUCUGUCCCUGCUGCCUGUCAAGUCAGUGUGCCGAUUCAAGUGUGUCUCCCGGCUCUGGUACCUCCUCAUCUCCCAACACCGCAAAAAGCUGCCCCAGACCAUCUCCGGUUUCUUCUACCCCAUGCACAGAUACAACAAUGAGGAUGGUUUGAUAGGAUUUCCCACUUUUGAUGGUAUUUCGGGGGACCAAAAGCAGCUAUUCCCUGAUUCCUCGUUGCCCUUCUUGACGGGAUACAGGCAGAUUUUGCCAAAGGACUGCUGCAAUGGCCUUAUUUUCUGCCUCUGCUGGAAGGACUCCCCAAUAGACGAAGCUGAUUAUGUGGUAUGUAAUCCUGCCACUGAGGAAUGGGUAGUCCUGCCUGAUGCUGGCCAUAGAAGCGAUGCAUUGGAGUACCGUUUGGGUUUCGAUGGAGCCAUGUCACCCCACUUCCAUGUGUUCCAGAUCCUAGAGGGUGAUGAGGACUAUGGAUAUAUCUCAGGUGUUAAUAUCUACUCAUCAGAGACAGGAGCCUGGAGUUACAAGGAAAAUGGUUGGGGCGACAAUGAGAUUCAGAUAGUUGAGAUGAGAGGUGUCUUUUUCAAUGGAAUGAUGCACUUGCUCACAUGUGAGUUUAAGAUACUAGCAGUUGACACGGAAGGCAAGACAUGGAGGACCAUUUCUUUGCUUGAAACCAUGUGUGUUGGAAACAUUUGUUUAGGUCCUCUAGCUUUUAUUGGUCAAUCUCAAGGGCGAUUGUAUUUUAUAAAUAUGAGAGACAAUGAUAGCUCCAAAUUAUCAGUCUGGAUUCUUGAGGACUAUAAUGGUAAUGAAUGGAUCUUUAAGUACAACAUCAGCACUUCACAACUUUUUGGGGAGCUUUUUGGGGAGAAGGAUCACAUGUUACAACGGGACUAUGCUGAUCUCUUGUUCCAAAGGGACUAUGCUUUGAUCGCAAUCCAUCCUGAGUGCAAUUUGAUAUUCUUUGUUUGGAGGUGCGAGGAUGUGCUACUGUCCUAUGACAUGGACCGUGACCAAGAGUGGAAGCAUGACUCCAGGGUGGAGGCUGACAGUUGUUACUGA
rnacentral:rRNA from 1 species